rnacentral:rRNA from 1 species
ACUCCUACGGGAGGCAGCAGUGGGGAAUAUUGCACAAUGGGCGCAAGCCUGAUGCAGCCAUGCCGCGUGUAUGAAGAAGGCCUUCGGGUUGUAAAGUACUUUCAGCAGUGAGGAAGGUGGGUAUGUUAAUAGCAUACUCAUUUGACGUUAGCUGCAGAAGAAGCACCGGCUAACUCCGUGCCAGCAGCCGCGGUAAUACGGAGGGUGCGAGCGUUAAUCGGAAUUACUGGGCGUAAAGCGCAUGCAGGUGGUUUGUUAAGUCAGAUGUGAAAGCCCGGGGCUCAACCUCGGAAUUGCAUUUGAAACUGGCAAACUAGAGUACUGUAGAGGGGGGUAGAAUUUCAGGUGUAGCGGUGAAAUGCGUAGAGAUCUGAAGGAUACCGGUGCGAAGGCGGCCCCCUGGACAGAUACUGACACUCAGAUGCGAAAGCGUGGGGAGCAAACAGGAUUAGAUACCCUUGUAGGCUCUGC